CAAUUGAAAUUUUUGAAUUUAAGUUUAUAGUUUAUAGUUUUUGAGUUUAAGCGAUUUAUAUAAGUAAUAUAAACUACCUAAACAAGAUGCUGAAGAAAUAUCUGAUGUCAUAUUGAACAGUUUUUUGAACACCUAAAUAUAUGUUCAAAAGGUUGAGGAGUAGCACAUUUUGGUACCUCAAUAAUUGUCUCAUUUGUUGAUUUCAACAGAAGUGGGAAUUUUUGGAGCCGCAUUUAAUUUUUAUCGGUUUGUAUUACAUAAAUAACAAGUAGAAUCAAAAUGGUCAGAACAGAUUCUGGUUUGAGAAAAUCUAGAUGUAUCAUUUAAACCAUGCAAGUCUCCAAAUAAUAAACCUAUAAUUUUAAAUAAAUAUUUUAAUUAGAAAUAAAAUUUCAAUACUACUUAUGUAAUCAUUUUUUCACGUAAAAUUAGAAAAAUAUUUAUUUUAACAACUUACUACAGUAAAGUAAUGCUAUAUUUUUAUUGUAUAAAAAUUAUUUAUGUUAAGGCUGUUGGAGCACAACAUUUGAAAUAAUUAUAUGUAUUACGUAUAAUUAAUAAGUGGAUAAUAUUCUUGUAAAAAUCUCAACUAGUUUUUUCAAUCAAAAUAUCAAAUGCAAAUGUGCGGCGAAAACGCAGUGAUUAACCAGAGGCACCACAAAACAUAUAAAUGUUCUAUCUUAUAUAGUACUAUUAGUAGUAAGUUACAUGACAAAAUAUGUAGUAUAUAUAAAUAUAUAUUUUGUCAUGGUAAAUUAGUAGUUAGUACUGUGACGAUUGGAUGUAGUAUCUACGCCGGCCGCCGGGAGAGUACCUAACAUUCCGAAUCCUUAUCAAGCAUGCGCCAGUUUUGGUGACUAUACCAUCAGAGUCACGAAAACAACUAUUCUGAUUGGUCUAUAUUUUCCGCGCAAUAUUUGAAAUAUAAAAUAUUGUGUCAUGUGUAUACACUUUAUUGUACAGUAUGUUAACUAAUUAAAAUGCAGUAGCUCUAAUUAAAUAUUUUAGUGCAGUUUUUUUAAUGUAAUAUAUGACUAAUUGCAUACAUUUUACCAUUACAUACAUGUUAUAUAACUUAAAAAUUUCUAACAUAUAUUAUAAUUUUGUUACAAAUAUAAUUGAUCAAUUAAACUGAUUUGUGCAUAGUAGCUCAUGGGGGAUAUAUUAUAUUAUGAUUUAUGAAAAACAAAUGUAUUUAAUAAUCCUUUAUUGUAAUAUUGACCGACGACUAUUACUUAUUAGAAUUACCAUAUUACGGAUUUAUGUAUAUUGUACACAUUAUUAUUUUGUAUUUUUAUGACAUUUUUAUGUCCGCCCCCAUCAUAAUUAUAUACACGUACAAUGAUUCCCGUCCAUUUUUUCUUGAGAUAAUGAAUAUUUUUAAUUACAUUUCACUAAAUAUUAUUAACAAACAAUGUACCAGACAUAAUUUAAUCAGGAUUGAAAUAUAUUUCAACCAUUAGUUUAA